rnacentral:rRNA from 1 species
GAUCCUGGCUCAGGAUGAACGCUAGCUACAGGCUUAACACAUGCAAGUCGAGGGGCAGCAUAGGGUUGCUUGCAAACUCUGAUGGCGACCGGCGCACGGGUGAGUAACGCGUAUCCAACCUGCCCAUGGCUAGGGAAUAGCCCGUUGAAAAGCGGAUUAAUGCCCUAUGGCGUCCUUUGAAGGCAUCUAACGAGGACUAAAGGUUUACCGGCCAUGGAUGGGGAUGCGUCCGAUUAGGUAGUUGGCGGGUAACGGCCCACCAAGCCUUCGAUCGGUAGGGGUUCUGAGAGGAAGGUCCCCCACAUUGGAACUGAGACACGGUCCAAACUCCUACGGGAGGCAGCAGUGAGGAAUAUUGGUCAAUGGGCGGAAGCCUGAACCAGCCAAGUAGCGUGCAGGAUGACGGCCCUAUGGGUUGUAAACUGCUUUUAUGCGGGAAUAAAGAGGCUCACGUGUGGGCUGUUGCAUGUACCGCAUGGAUAAGGACCGGCUAAUUCCGUGCCAGCAGCCGC